CAUGCACCGGUGGGGUCCCUUGGCCUGGCCUGUGCCCUCUCGAAAUCUGGGACCCCUCGGGGGAUGUUGGAGAGCCCGUUUAGGCCCGAUCCCACAGGCCAGGCCGAGGGACCCCACUGGUGCACA
rnacentral:pre_miRNA from 1 species